rnacentral:lncRNA from 1 species
UGGAUAUGGAUGGUAGCGCCGCGUAUAUUCCUAGACAGGAGCUCACAAGUCUAGCCGACAUUGCUUCCGAAAAGUAUGCCGCCACCCGUUGGGCCGACGUCCCAUACGGUGUGGAGAGUUCGGAGAUCUCAAGCAGCAUCCUGUUUGCUUCCUCCAAGUUUUCGGCCGAGACGGCUUCCGCGCACUGCAACAGCAAGGUUAAAAGGUGUAGCCCUUCUUCGUCUCGCUUCUGUUGGCGCAGCUCUUCUUUUUUGUCUAUUUUAACAGUUGCUGUUGUAGCAGAUGUGGGCUUCGAUGUUGUCGGUGGCGUGCUGCUGACUGUUUCUGCGGGUGAAGAAUUUUCUUGUUCCGGUUCUUGUUCCUGAGGCUGAACCUGAGCCUGUCUUCGUGUCUGAGGCUGGAUUUCUACAGGCACAGGCUGAG